UCCUAAGGUGCACCAGUGUCUCUGGGAAGG
rnacentral:piRNA from 1 species